GUAUGGCGGGAGUUAUGUAUCAAUUAGAUGUGUGAAGUGCACUCAUGAACUCAAUAUUUGAUGCUUAUUGAUAUUCUCACUUGCCGAUU